AAUUCCAGUGACAUUCAAUUUUUGUAAUGGCAAAAUAUUUUUAAGAAACUGCAAACAAAUGCAAAUGUGCAGUCGAUGUGUGGAAUGCGACAACAUUAUACUCGAUAAUUUCAAUUAUUGAGAGUGUUGUGGCUUAGAAACAAUUAGGCAGUUAAGAAUAAACAAGGCUCGGGCACUAUCAAACCUUCUUCCUAAAAAGCAAAAAGCUGCUUCUGCUGCAUCACAAGAUUUAUUUGAUGACUUUCAGGUUGAUAACGAAGAGUUGACGGUAAUCGAGGAUUCAUUGAUGAUUGAUGAUGCUUCUUCAGACAACAAGAAAAAACAGCUACUGUCAGUCAGCUUCUUCGGACAACAAGGAAAAACAGCUGCUGUCAGUCAGCAGUGAUUUUAUUUCUUUAGAAGAAGAAGAA